GUAGGAGAUGUUCAUGUAAAUGAAGGUGGGAGAGGAAAGGCUCUUUGAAAAAGAAAGUGGGGGUGGGCAGGGUUAUGCCAUCUGCCCUUAGUAUCUACUUAUGCUCCUACUAUGUUCCUUACUGUUCUAUAUUUUUUUUUCAUGUGGGAUCUUGCCAUCCUGACCCUAUCCCCAGUUCCCUGAAAACUUUGGCUCCUGUUUCCACUUCUUUCAUCAUUGUGAAUGACUUCAGCUUCUAACAACAGCUGGCCUUCUAAUGCCUCAGCCACUUGUUCCCUUACUUCCUGACAUCUAAUGACCAUUUUAUGCUUCACAGUCCCAAGUUUUAUCUCAGUCCUUGUUAUCAUCAGUAACUUUCCAGCUCCAAAGCUUCCAUUUCAAAAUCUACUUAUUUUACACGCCCUCUGUCUUAUUCUUCCAGCUCACUUGCUCUAACAUCCCUCUGCUAUAGUCCUUGGACCAGAAAGACCCACUGUUUUAUCCAUUGUGCUCUCACUAUCCGUUCAUGCCUCCUAGUCUUAGCUGUACAUUUCCCCUGUCGCCUGGGAUUGUGUAUCAUUCCACUGUCUUUAACAAUACUGACAUCAUAGCAGAUGUUUUUUACUAGGUGGAGAAGCAAGCAUCCUGCUCACCACUUGAACCCAUGGAUUCUUAUCAGUUGGUGAUGUGGUACCUUUGAAGGAAUGUAGAUACAAUUUCUCAGCAGGGACUUGUUUGGAGCUCAGUCAUCUAGAAUCUGUGUGAAGCUUGCUUUUGGGCUAAGACACAGAGAUCAGAAAGGCCUUCAGCCUGUAUUAACAAGCUCUGUUUUGCAGCAUUCAUCUGAUCCCUGAGCCUCGAGGGGAAGGAUUUGAUAAAGACAUUCCAUUUAGGGGUAUCCACAACUGCUGUGAGCUGAUUUGUGCAACAGCCACACGAUGUGCAGAAGUCAACAUCUCACAAUUCUCCUCCCAUCCUCAGGCUUUACAUUAUUUCCAGGCGUCUUUCAGAAUGCUCUCCGAGUCACUGUCACAAUUUUUAAAAGGAGAAGAAAAACAUUUAUUCCAUAAUUCAGCACCCCAAGCACUGUAGUGCAUGAAAAAUUUAUGGAC
rnacentral:lncRNA from 1 species